rnacentral:rRNA from 1 species
AUGUCAAUGCACCCGACAUGGAAGAGGUGCUUGCACGUCGGCAGCUGCCGCACCAUCUCGCCGUCGCCGAUAUCUUCCAGGCACACGGAGCAAGUCUGGGGUUGGGCGCCCCCGCACUCGAGGUCGCCACCGGCCACGGGGCGACGGGAUGCGUACGCGAACGUUGGCAGCGACUCGAUCCCGGCCUUCCCGAGCCCGCCGAGUCGGGAUGCUGCCCAAGCCACGCCCUCGGCGGCGGCGCCAGCGCCGCCCCUCCGCCCGUCGCGCCAGCUCUCGGGCGCGAGGCACUCGAGGGCGACCAAGGCGGCCAGCGCCAGGCCUGUGAACGCGAACGCCUUCCAGGCGCUGACGGUGGCGACGAGGACGCAGAACACGAGCGCCGACACGAGGGACACCACGACGCCCUGUGAGCAGGACCCUCCCCCGCCGUUCAGAGCAGGCAUGCUCACUCACUAA